GAUGAACGCUGGCGGCGUGCCUAAUACAUGCAAGUCGAGCGAACGGACUAGAAGCUUGCUUCUCUGAUGUUAGCGGCGGACGGGUGAGUAACACGUGGAUAACCUACCUAUAAGACUGGGAUAACUUCGGGAAACCGGAGCUAAUACCGGAUGAUAUUUUGAACCGCAUGGUUCAAAAGUGAAAGACGGUCUUGCUGUCACUUAUAGAUGGAUCCGCGCUGCAUUAGCUAGUUGGUAAGGUAACGGCUUACCAAGGCAACGAUGCAUAGCCGACCUGAGAGGGUGAUCGGCCACACUGGAACUGAGACACGGUCCAGACUCCUACGGGAGGCAGCAGUAGGGAAUCUUCCGCAAUGGGCGAAAGCCUGACGGAGCAACGCCGCGUGAGUGAUGAAGGUCUUCGGAUCGUAAAACUCUGUUAUUAGGGAAGAACAUAUGUGUAAGUAACUGUGCACAUCUUGACGGUACCUAAUCAGAAAGCCACGGCUAACUACGUG
rnacentral:rRNA from 1 species